rnacentral:tRNA from 1 species
GGGGAUUUAGUUCAGAGAUAGAGCGCUUGCCUAGCAAGCACAAGGCCCUGGGUUCGAUCCCCAGCUCCG